rnacentral:rRNA from 1 species
AUUGAACGCUGGCGGCAGGCCUAACACAUGCAAGUCGAACGAGCGGCGGACGGGUGAGUAAUGUCUGGGAAACUGCCUGAUGUAGGGGGAUAACUACUGGAAACGGUAGCUAAUACCGCAUACCAUCAGAUGUGCCCAGAUGGGAUUAGCUAGUCGGUGGGGUAAUGGCUCACCUAGGCGACGCUCCCUAGCUGGUCUGAGAGGAUGACCAGCCAAACUGGAACGGAUACACGGUCCAGCUCCCUACGGGAGGAAGCAGUGGGGAAUAUUGCACAAUGGGCGCAAGCCUGAUGAAGCCAUGCCGCGUGUGUGAAGAAGGCCUGCGGGUGGUAAAGUACUUUCAGCGGGGAGGCGUUACCCGCAGAAGAAGCACCGGCUAACUCCGUGCCAGCUGCCGCGGUAAUAC